rnacentral:rRNA from 1 species
AAAGGAAUAGACGGGGACCCGCACAAGCGGUGGAGGAUGUGGUUUAAUUCGACGCAACGCGAAGAACCUUACCAAGGCUUGACAUCCAUAGAAUUUUAUAGAAAUAUGAGAGUGCCCGCAAGGGAGCUAUGAGACAGGUGGUGCAUGGCUGUCGUCAGCUCGUGUCGUGAGAUGUUGGGUUAAGUCCCGCAACGAGCGCAACCCUCGGCAUUAGUUACCAUCAUUAAGUUGGGUACUUUAAUGCGACUGCCUGUGAUAAGCAGGAGGAAGGUGGGGAUGACGUCAAGUCAUCAUGCCCCUUACGUCUUGGGCUACACACGUCCUACAAUGGUACAGACAAACAGAUGCGAGCUAGCAAUAGUAAGCGAACCUGACAAACUGUAUCUCAGUUCGGAUUGUAGGCUGCAACUCGCCUACAUGAAGUUGGAAUCGCUAGUAACCGUAGAUCAGCAUGCUACGGUGAAUACGUUCCCGGGUCUUGUACACACCGCCCGU